rnacentral:rRNA from 1 species
UGGGGAAUAUUGGACAAUGGGCGCAAGCCUGAUCCAGCAAUUCCGCGUGGGUGAAGAAGGUCUUCGGAUUGUAAAGCCCUUUCGACGGGGACGAUGAUGACGGUACCCGUAGAAGAAGCCCCGGCUAACUUCGUGCCAGCAGCCGCGGUAAUACGAAGGGGGCUAGCGUUGCUCGGAAUUACUGGGCGUAAAGGGCGCGUAGGCGGUUUUUUAAGUCAGAUGUGUAAUCCCCGAGCUCAACUUGGGAACUGCAUCUGAGACUGGAAGGCUAGAGUACCGGAGAGGAAAGCGGAAUUCCCCGUGUAGCGGUGAAAUGCGUAGAUAUGGGGAGGAACACCAGUGGCGAAGGCGGCUUUCUGGACGGUGUCUGACACUGAGGCGCGAAAGCCAGGGGAGCGAACGGG